UACGUAGGGGGCUAGCGUUGCUCGGAUUCACUGGGCGUAAAGGGCACGUAGGCGGUUUUCUAAGUCAGGGGUGAAAUCCUGGAGCUCAACUCCAGAACUGCCUUUGAUACUGGAGAGCUUGAGUCCGGAAGAGGUGAGUGGAACUCCGAGUGUAGAGGUGAAAUUCGUAGAUAUUCGGAAGAACACCAGUGGCGAAGGCGGCUCCCUGGUCCGGUACUGACGCUGAGGUGCGAAAGCGUGGGGAGCAAACAGG
rnacentral:rRNA from 1 species